rnacentral:rRNA from 1 species
GUGGGGAAUAUUGGACAAUGGGCGAAAGCCUGAUCCAGCCAUGCCGCGUGUGUGAAGAAGGUCUUCGGAUUGUAAAGCACUUUAAGUUGGGAGGAAGGGCAGUAAGUUAAUACCUUGCUGUUUUGACGUUACCGACAGAAUAAGCACCGGCUAACUUCGUGCCAGCAGUCGCGGUAAUACGAAGGGUGCAAGCGUUAAUCGGAAUUACUGGGCGUAAAGCGCGCGUAGGUGGUUUUGUAAGUUGGAGGUGAAAUCCCCGGGCUCAACCUGGGAACUGCCUCCAAAACUGCAUGACUAGAGUACGGUAGAGGGUAGUGGAAUUUCCUGUGUAGCGGUGAAAUGCGUAGAUAUAGGAAGGAACACCAGUGGCGAAGGCGACUACCUGGACUGAUACUGACACUGAGGUGCGAAAGCGUGGGGAGCAAACAGGAUUAGAUACCCGGGUAGUCC